rnacentral:tRNA from 1 species
AUAUUGGUGGUUCAGUGGUAGAAUUCUCACCUUCCACGCGGGAGAUCCUGGUUCAAUUCAUGGACAAUGUG